CAGCGCCGGGGCUGCCACAGCUGCUGGGCUGGCACCGGAGUGGCACGACUACAGGCUGCUUUGCUGCUCUCUUCCGCUCCCCGUGGGGAAAGCGUCAAGAUUGGUAUUAGAACAGUUUCAACGGUCAGUCUCUCAUAGCUCCUGACUCAGUUUUCACGGUUCUCAAUCUAACCAGCUCCCAGAAGAGGUCUCACUUUAUCUCCGGCAGGUGUGGGAAACUCCCAGCAGUGAGACGCUGUGUAAUGAUGUCAUCACUCUAGCGUCUUGUGCCUCAGGAUCCCACCCCACCAACCCCUGGGACCUGGUGGUCGACCUCCUCCUGACUCUGACCAAGCUGGCCAUCUGUAAGACCGGGAAGGAGGCUCUGGCUGGGGGGAACCCAGUACUCAGUUGGUGUGUCCUCAGUGGCCUCCCAUCUUAAGGGAGCCUGAUUGACCCUUGGCACAUCAAAUAGGCCUGUGACCACCAGAGGGCACUAGCAUUUCUCCUUGGCUGCUGCUGGGCCAGGGAACAGUAGGAACCUGAGAGCUGCUGCAGGCUCCUGCUCUCCCCACCACCACCACCUCCUCAUCCUCACCUGGACCUACAGCCUCCAUCCUCUCUCAAGAAGAGCAGGCAGGGGGGUGUCCUCCCUCACCCAGCACCAGCCACCACCUGCUGCUGCAUCUGCCUGCAGUGAGAGGAUCUCAUAGUGCCCCUGGGGCUCCUCCAACAGCAACACCAUCAGCUGUCCUGCUAGCUGCUUCAGCAGCAACCCAUGUGUCUGCACAUAGUGAGUCUUGUGGUCCACUCCCCCUCUCCCUGUGUCUUGUGAUUUGCUGCAUAAGCCAGAGUGUGCUUCCCCCCCACCCCCAUGUCCUUGUUUUUCUGUUUCCCCCCAGCCCCUCACAUGCACACUACACUCACGCAGUCCCCCACCUACUGCAGCUAGAGCCCCCCACCCUCUACAACAAGCCACCUUUUCUUACAGGUUGAGGGGGAACUAACAGCUUCUCAUCUUGCACCCCCCUGACCCCUUCCCAAAUAGCUCAUGGCAGAGCAAGGUCAAGGCCCCCCAACC